CGGACGUGCGCUCCGCGCGCUCGCUCAGUUUCUGGUUGGCUCUCGUAGAGAGCAGACGUGUGUUCCCCGCGCUCGCUCAGUUUCUGCCUGGAAGUUGCCGCGGGGGAAAAGAGCUAUGAUGGUGAUGCCAUCUGGUGUGAUGCCUUGCAACUAAGUGGCCACCUGUCGUCGAUCUCUGCAACUACCAGUCGUCAACAAGCAACAUGGCGGGCGCUGGUCACUCGGGUGUUGCGGAGCGGGUUCUUCGCCGCGACAUCGUUGAUUUUCGAAUAAAUUGUUUCUCUCCACUCUAUUUCCAUCUUUUUAUUUUAUUUUCUACCUAUUUUUGACAUGCUGAGCAAUUAUUCUGUAGCAGUUAUCGUAAACCCCAAGGUGACUUACGACGCUGUGUGGUGCUGCAGUUGCGCUUCAAGAUGGCGUCGCUUUCGUCGGGUCGUGAUUCCUUGCUUCGACCCUUCGACCAUAUCGUCAGGAUUACAAGAAAGUUAAGUGCCCACAGUGCUUCAAAUUCUUCAAAAAAUUAUUGCUGUUACCAUGUUUUGAAGCAUAUACGAUAUUCAGGGCAGGAAUGCCGUUAUCUUUUAAAACUUUGGAAACCAUGCAGAGAUAUUUUCCGAAUGGGACCUCGUAACACAUUUACGAGGUUCAGUUCACAUCCUGAAGUUCGGUUCGAUGGUCCAGUAUAGGUUGUAUCGGAAACUGUGUUUGCCCCGUCAAAAUAGCAAUUAUGACGCCAGAUAACGGCUGUAUGAUUACGUUUAAGGAACUGCGAAGCCUGCUGAAAAGGAAAGUGUGGAUGUUGAACGGGUUUCCUCAAAUAUCUGCGUGGCAUUUGAACGGCGAGGACGUCUGAGCCUACGUUGAAGCCAUAGGAAGGUGUGGAGGAGAGCUGUACUGAUACCAAAACGAUGACACCCAUCAACCGAGCUUCCACUAAAGAAGAAAUAUGUACCAGCCACACUGCCAUUGACUGUCAUUUGCUGCAGGGCUUCCUGCAGCAACCUGAGGUUGCAGAUAUGACGAAAAAUAAAAUGUGUUAGGUGCAGGAAGGCAAGCCAUACGAAGAAUCUGCAAGUGUGUAGCACGAAUGCUACGCUUUUCUGUGUCAUCUACAACUGUUAUUUGAAAUCUUUGUAAAUUGUACCAUGAAUAAACU